GGGGCCGUAGCGCAAUUGGUAGCGCGCAUGCUUUGCAUGCAUGAGGUACCGGGAUCGAAACCCGGCGGCUCCA